UUAGGGUCUUACCGAAGGGUCUCUUGGUGUGGUCCAGGCAGGAGAGGUGGAAGGGUCAGGGGUUAGGGUCUUACCGAAGGGUCUCUUGGUGUGGUCCAGGCAGGAGAGGUGGAAGGGUCAGGGGUUAGGGUCUUACCGAAGGGUCUCUUGGUGUGGUCCAGGCAGGAGAGGUGGAAGGGUCAGGGGUUAGGGGGUUAGGGUCUUACCGAAGGGUCUCAUGGUGUGGUCCAGGCAGGAGAGGUGGAAGGGUCAGGGGUUAGGGGGUUAGGGUCUUACCGAAGGGUCUCUUGGUGUGGACCAGGCAGGAGAGGUGGAAGGGUCAGGGGUUAGGGUCUUACCGAAGGGUCUCUUGGUGUGGUCCAGGCAGGAGAGGUGGAAGGGUCAGGGGUUAGGGUCUUACCGAAGGGUCUCUUGGUGUGGUCCAGGCAGGAGAGGUGGAAGGGUCAGGGGUUAGGGUCUUACCGAAGGGUCUCUUGGUGUGGUCCAGGCAGGAGAGGUGGAAGGGUCAGGGGUUAGGGGGUUAGGGUCUUACCGAAGGGUCUCUUGGUGUGGUCCAGGCAGGAGAGGUGGAAGGGUCAGGGGUUAGGGUCUUACCGAAGGGUCUCAUGGUGUGGUCCAGGCAGGAGAGGUGGAAGGGUCAGGGGUUAGGGGGUUAGGGUCUUACCGAAUUGUCUC